CGCUAGUCCGCUCCAUCGCCGCCUUCUCCUCCUCCUCCUCCUGAACUCCGGCGAGGCGGCGGUGCCUCCGGGCGCCUCCUACGUCGCCGUGGUUCCUCGCUCCACGGUUGCUGUUCGUGAGGAGCCGCCGUUGGUUGGCCUUCCGCUUGCUGACGAAGCGGAAUUUCUCCGUGCUCCUCCUUCCCAUCGCCGGAAUUAGCAUUCUCAGCUUAAUCGUCGAUUAGCUCAACAUGUUGUUGCAGAUUGGAAUGAUUUAUCCAGAGGACUAGUCCAUGACGCCCAUGAAUGUUGCGGAAAAACUCAUGUAAUCUACUGAUCUGAGGGAUAUGAUGGAGCGAGUCGGGCCACACUUCGUUCAUGUGGGCUGGUGAUGACAAGCAUGAGAGCUAGCUCUUCUACUACCAAAUGUUUCUCUGUUGUCCAGUCAGGCCCAUCAGAGAGCAGCAGGAGUCCCUCCAAAUAGUUCAGUUGUUUGGCUUGUUGCUGCUCUGCUGUGCUCUGGAAAACCGGUACCAGUAGUAUGACUGGACACAGAAUUCAAACGUGCUCAUGUGCACCUCUAUGUCCAGGACAAAGAAACUUCUUUCGUGGACACUGCUGCCUUCCAGAAGAUGCUACAGGUAAUGUCAACAGAAAUGUCGCCGUUCAAACAUUAAAGUUUGGAACUUGGGCUAU